CGGGGCGUAGCGCAGCCAGGUAGCGCACCUGCAUGGGGUGUAGGGGGCCGCCAGUUCGAAUCUGGCCGCCCCGACCA
rnacentral:tRNA from 1 species